UGGUGACAGUGUUGGAAAAUAACACAGCAACUGUAUUGAAUAUUUUUAAGGGAGAAGAUGGCAGCCAAAAUAGGCUACAGAAAAGCAGGCCUACAUUUGCUGAACAAAGAAACGUCAAAACAGAUGCACAAUAAAAAGUGCAAACAUGCUAGAACUAGGCUACUCAGUUUUAUCUGAACAGGCAAUUAUUUUCUGAAACUAUAAAGGUCUGGAAUUCGUCUCGGCCGCUCUGUUGUGUGUGUUUGGAGACUGGCGGUAGAUGUUAAAUGUUGGUAAGGAAAUCAGCGUGACCUGCUGGCCAGUCAUCGGGUUAAUGAGGCUUGCGCGAGCUGAAUAUAUGGGCACGCUCUCAGUCCAGGGGUUCUCCAUUCAUUUUUUACAUGAAUAUUUAAUUCUCGCUACCCUACUGCCAGCGCAACAGCCUGCAGCCCUGAGCAGACAGGGACACACUCCCCAUCUGCUGUAGGCCCUGAGACGGGGGCGGCGGUGGAGGACCGCGGAAGGUGUUGGGAGCACAUCAAAGAUGCUCCUGGCUGAGAGAGGGCUUCUGAAGGGCAAAUGUAAAGCCCAGUGAGCUGCUGUCAGCCUUGCUGCAGGGGGAGAUGUUGAAGAACGCCAGAGCAGAGACGUCCCACUCCUCGUCCCAUUGUUCCUGUCACUUCACUCCCGAAUUAACUUUCGAAUGAACAUAAAUGAACAUGGAAUAAUACAAGCCCUCCCGUAAAGAUUUAUGUUCUCUCAUUGUUUGGAGGCGAAAUCACAGCAUGCUACAAGCCCACAAGGCCAAAUCUCGUUGUCCCAUGGUAGAAAGAACUACCAACCUUCACUCGAGCUGCAAAAUCUGUGAGCACUUGACUAACUAAC